CUUUACAUAGCAACCAGUAAGUACAUAAUUAUUCCGACUCUACGUCGUUACAGGGUACACCAUCAGUACUGCUAUCUGUAUCGGUGGUCUCUGAUAUGCCAUCUGAUGGCACCCACGGUUUUAGCCUAUCUACUGUCACCACAUUCUUAUACAUAGCACGUGAACUUCUAUAUGAACCAGUUCUAUGAAAUGGUCCUAAAUGAUCUGCGUGAGUAGUGUGAAAUGGGAUAGCAACUUUUUCAAUAGGAUGUAACAUCCCUGGUUUCUUCCCGGAAAUGGAUUUUGAAUAUAGACAGGAAAUACAACAGGAAAUAUAUCGUUCAACAAGAAAGUACCCAAUCGACUGGCUCUAUGUGUAAAAUAUCUAACGAAACACCAGUACUUGAUGACUGAGGAUUUCGGCUUAAA